rnacentral:rRNA from 1 species
GGGCCCGCACAAGCAGCGGAGCAUGUGGUUUAAUUCGAAGCAACGCGAAGAACCUUACCAGGUCUUGACAUCGAUCUAAGCCGGUGGAAACACCGGGUGCUUUCGGGCAAGAGAAGACAGGUGGUGCAUGGUUGUCGUCAGCUCGUGUCGUGAGAUGUUGGGUUAAGUCCCGCAACGAGCGCAACCCUUGCCGCCAGUUGCUAACGCGUGAAGGCGAGCACUCUGACGGGACUGCCGGGGACAACUCGGAGGAAGGUGGGGACGACGUCAAAUCAUCAUGCCCCUUAUGACCUGGGCUACACACGUGCUACAAUGGCCGCAACAGAGAGGCGCAAGACCGCAAGGUGGAGCGGAUCUGGAAAAGCGGUCUCAGUUCAGAUCGUGGGCUGCAACCCGCCCACGUGAAGUCGGAGUUGCUAGUAAUCGCGAAUCAGCAUGUCG